GGCGCAUCGGCGCUCAGAUGUGACCCUUCCGGCCGGCAGGCGAGUGACGUCAGACGCCGGGGGCGGAGCAAGCGCACUGACGUCAUCCACAUGCGCCACAGGUCCUGGAGGCUAGAGGACGCUAUAAAACCUCACAGGACCUGUGCAAUGGCGCCCUGCAUAGCGCAGCUCACGUGUAUUGUGGAGCAUCGCUGGAGCGGUCGGGAGUCAGAAUGAGCACCCCCCUCACGCCGGGCUCUGGAACCGAGCCUGCAUCAAAC